UACGGGGGGAGCAAGCGUUGUUCGGAUUUAUUGGGCGUAAAGGGCGCGUAGGCGAUUUGAAAAGUCUUGUGUGAAAGCCCCGAGCUUAACUCGGGAAGUGCACAAGAAACUGUUGAAUUUGAGUUCCGGAGAGGAAGGCAGAAUUCCCGGUGUAGCGGUGAAAUGCGUAGAUAUCGGGAGGAAUACCAGUGGCGAAGGCGGCCUUCUGGACGGAUACUGACGCUGAGGCGCGAAAGCCAGGGGAGCAAACGGG
rnacentral:rRNA from 1 species